rnacentral:rRNA from 1 species
CCUACGGGUGGCAGCAGUAGGGAAUAUUGCUCAAUGGGGGAAACCCUGAAGCAGCAACGCCGCGUGGAGGAUGACGGUUUUCGGAUUGUAAACUCCUUUUGUUAGAGACGAUAAUGACGGUAUCUAACGAGUAAGCACCGGCCAACUCCGUGCCAGCAGCCGCGGUAAUACGGAGGGUGCACGCGUUACUCGGAAUCACUGGGCGUAAAGAGCGCGUAGGCGGGAUAGCAAGUCAGAUGUGAAAGCCUAUGGCUUAACCAUGGAACUGCAUUUGAAACUGUAAUUCUAGAGUAUGGGAGAGGUAGGUGGAAUUCUAGGUGUAGGGGUAAAAUGCGUAGAGAUCAAGAAGAAUACUGAUUGCGAAGGCGGCCUGCUGGGACACAACUGACGCUGAUGCGCGAAAGCGUGGGGAGCAAACAGGAUUAGAUACCCGGGUAGUC